GAUAAACGCUGGCGGCGUGCCUAACACAUGCAAGUCGAACGAUCCCGCAAGGGAGAGUGGCGGAAGGGUGAGUAACACGUGGGAAUCUACCUCCUCGCAGGGAACAACCUCUCGAAAGAGAGGCUAAUACCCAAAAGGGUCAGAAAUGAUCAGAGUCGAAAGGCGUGAGGAGAGGAGCCCGCGGCCCAUCAGCUAGUUGGUGAGGUAAAGGCUUACCAAGGCUACGACGGGUAGGGGAUCUGAGAGGAUGUCCCCCACACUGGAACUGAAACACGGUCCAGACGCCUACGGGUGGCAGCAGUGAGGAAUAUUGGACAAUGGGCGAAAGCCCGAUCCAGCAACGCCGCGUGGAGGAUGAAGGCCUUC
rnacentral:rRNA from 1 species